CGUAGGUGGCAAGCGUUGUCCGGAAUUAUUGGGCGUAAAGCGCGCGCAGGCGGUCUCUUAAGUCUGAUGUGAAAGCCCCCGGCUCAACCGGGGAGGGUCAUUGGAAACUGGGAGACUUGAGUGCAGAAGAGAAGAGCGGAAUUCCACGUGUAGCGGUGAAAUGCGUAGAGAUGUGGAGGAACACCAGUGGCGAAGGCGGCUCUUUGGUCUGUAACUGACGCUGAGGCGCGAAAGCGUGGGGAGCAAACAGGAUUAGAUACCCUGGUAGUCCACGCCGUAAACGAUGAGUGCUAAGUGUUAGAGGGUUUCCGCCCUUUAGUGCUGCAGCUAACGCAUUAAGCACUCCGCCUGGGGAGUACGGCCGCAAGGCUG
rnacentral:rRNA from 1 species